CUCUUUUAUCUUGUAGCUUGGCGUUUUUGGAGGAACAUAUUCUAUUGAUGUGUCCACCCCACUUCAGCUGUUUUUCUAACUCUGGUUUCCUGGCUCAUAAAGAAGAAACAAUUUGAGGGCGUGGCAUUCCUGAUGACUCUCAGCGGGAUGCCAACUGAUGUCAACUCCCAGGUACAGGGAAUGGGAACUGUGGGUGGAAGACGGCAGAGCCUCUGUCAGCUGUGUCCAAAAUGGCUGUGUGAACCGCAUUCUGACUCCUCGGCUCCCUACCACAUCCCCUGCCCCCGAUCACCAGUCUCUGCCAUUGGGCUUUACUUUCAUUGAUGACCUUGGCAUAUCCAAGAUUAAUGAAGACGAAUCCGCGUCCUUACUACUAAGCAAAGAGCCUCCAAGCAAAUGAUUGUGGACCAGAGAGCUAUCUUCAUAGCCAUAAAAAGUACUUUUCAAAUAAGAGAUGUCAAAUGAGCCAAUUGCGUGCUAGAUACAGGAGACCACUAGUGCUCCCUAAAGUGCUGGGCUUCCUUGCUGUGUUAUUUAUUGAUGAACAUUGGGGAACCAGAGAUGACAAGAAGAAAGGAAGAGCAGGAAGCCAAUAACAUGGCCAGUGCAUUGGAGCUGGCCAACUCCGAGCUAUCACUGAGACUUGGUAAUGAUAUGAAGGGAUGGGCAAUUCCAGGGCUGCACCCCGCACUGGGGGUCUGCUGGAUGGUGCUUUGAGGAUGACCCUAAUCCCAGAUCACACCAAAGUAUUCCAGUUUUGAUGGCAAGUUUUCUAGGUAUCCAAAGUGAUGGCUGCAAUCCACGAUGACAGAGGCUAUGUGAAUAUCAGGGAAAUUUAAGUCUGAGUGGUGGUUUUUUCCCCCGCAAUGUGACUCAACUUCCCUUUCUCUAAACACGUAUUUCAUUUUCCUUUCAUAAUUUAUCCAAUUCCUCUCACAAAAAUUGCUUUGGGUUGCAUUAUAGGAAUAUUUUGGAAUUCCCCCCCAACCCCCGUCUUAUAUUUCUCUUUAAUUGUUUGUGCCUAAAAAAUGGUAUUUUGUUUAAGAGUACAGUAACUGGUCAAGAGGAAAUGUCACUGAAACACCAAGAUCCUCAAUUUGGUUUUGUUUUUUCUUGCUAACUUCUCUGAGAACAAUUUCCCCACAAAGCUACAGUCACGUAAAUCAACAGAGAGCAGAUAUGCGUCCUUAGAAGUUUCAGUCAUUGGAUAGCCUUGGUGAUCAUGAUAUUUCUUUCUCCAGAACACUUGACUCAUUUACCAAUUUCAUUCCCGGUGUGUGUGCUGGAAAAAGCUGCCAAGUGUUACUACCAGUUGGGGUGAUAGGCCAGCUCCCUGCUGGCAGCAUUUAUUUACAGUCAAGAGGACAACACUGAACUAACAUGAACAAGGUCUAUGAAAGGUUCCCAGGAAGGAGUCAGUUGACAGAUGGCAACAUAGACUCAAGGUCCCAUUUUCCACAGGGGUCUCCACAUAUCCAGAGGAGUAUGCCCAGGGCAUCACACAAGUACACACACGACACCUUGAGUUAAUUUCACCCUUGUCUACCCAGCAGUAACUUUAGACUGUGACUUUUUCCUCUUGCAUUUGCAGUAUGCAACUUAGUUUUGAGAAAAUCGGGAAAAGCACCAUCACCUUGGGCUUCAGCUAGCCUCUUGCUUUUUCUUGAUUCUCUCUGUUCCUGCCCAUAAGCCACUCAUCUCAGGUCUGAAUCAAGGCUGGUGAAUGUAUUUUGCAGGAGUUUCUAUGUAUCUAGGGUACAGCUCUUCUUUCAUCAUUACUCACCUUUUCUUUCAUCAUUAUUCACUUUUUCUUUGGUCUGCUUUCAUCCACAUAGGGAUGUCUUGGCUGACAAGGUGGACUCAAGUGAGAAGUUGUGUCUUCUUCCUUGUCUUCUUAGACAUGUGGAAAUCUGGACUAAUUAGACCAUUGAGGAAGUGAUGGGUAAAAACUUCCCACAUCUUUCUUCCUGGAGAGGUAUCUUCAGAUUAUUUCUGGAGACAGAGGAGGCAGGUCUGUUGUGUUUUAAAGAGGGACAUUUAUACGUGUGUAACAAAGAAUGUGUUUUGCUGACUAUUUUUCACUAUAUGAACAAGUGGUCUUGCUGUGGGAUCACUUCCUGAAAUCUUUAAUCAUUGAUUACACAUGAAGAUGUUUUUGCUGCAGACAGAGUGACAGCACUUGUAAAGAUGGGAUGGGAGAACUGAGAUGUUCUGAAAUGAAGAAGUGGUUGCUGUGCCUGGAGCUUGGGGGAAGAGAGGGGAGAGAAGGCCCAAAAGUGGUUUUGAGCCAGGUUGAGAAGGGCUUAAAACCAAGCCAAGCAGUUUGGGAUUUUUGUUGAAGGGUAAAGAGAAGCCUCUGAAAGAUUUUAAGCAGGGACCAGAUUCACAUUUAAGAAAGAUAGUUAUGGCAGCAGGAUGAAGAAUGGCUGUGAGGGGCACAGGUGGUGGGCAAGGAGUUUAAUUAGGAGGCUAUUGAAGUAAUCCACAGAAGAAAUGAUGAGAGUCUGAACCAAGUAUGUUAGGAGAUGAAUUUUAAAGAUAUUAAGAAAGUAGAAUGGCUGCAACUGAUCUCUAUCUUGCUUUACUAAUAGCCAUUCCAUCUUUGCUCUUUGUGGCUAAUGAGAUAUGAGCCAAAUGAAGUGCCUAUGUUGCCUCUUCCCUCUUUAUCUUUCUUUCUGCCUGGAACUUGGGAAUGGUCAUCUUAUAACCACAAUGUGCUCUUAAGGAUGGGAGUCUUGUGAAAAGCAUGGCAGAGAAAAGAGACAGGAGUACAGGGGCCUAAUGACAUGGUGGAUCCAAUGUGCCAGCCUUGGAUGGUCUGCCUCUGAACCUCAUACUCUAGGGAAAAAAAAAAAUCUUUUUUGUUUAAGCCACUGUGAUUUCCAUCCAUUUGUAUCCAGCAGCCAAAAACCAUUCCUAACUGAGACAAAUGUUGACAAACUGGGUAUAGAGGAGGAGCGGAAGGAUUGAGGAUGGACUCUAACUUGUUACUUGACUGAUGGAGUAGAUGAUGGUGCUAAUUGCAAAGAUAAGGAAUGGAAGGGGAAUUUAGGAACGAGUAUGCAUUUCAUUUUGUGCAUGUUGAGUUUGAGGAAUCUCUACAAUGGCCAAUAUAUGUCCAGGAAAUAAUGGGAGGUAGACUUUUGCUAAAGAUAUAUAUCUAGAAAUCAUCACCUUAUAGAUAACAAUUGAAGUCAUGGGAAUGUUUUAGGUCACCCAGGGAGAGCAUAAGAGAAAAGCACCAAUGACAGAGCCCAAGGAAUCCAGUACUUAAGAUUGAUGUGCCCAUGAACAGGACAGGGCAGAAGCAGCUAGAAAGUUAGGGAGAGAGUGGUAUCAAAGAGAUCAAGAACAUUCAGAGGACAGAGUGGUUACUAAUGCCACGGUUUGGAAAUACACAGAAAACAGAAGAGAGAGUUCAGGAAGAAAAAUGGCCAAAGAAUUCCUUCUUUCUACAAAAAAGCUAUUCUCAGAAUGGUCAUUCCAUGGAAGGUGCCUACAAGCGCAAUUUGUGUCAUGACACCACUGCACUUGUGAUUCUUCCGGAGUCUUGUGAUGCCCUGUUAUUUGCCUUGUUUUUUAAAAAACCAUUCCCUCCCCUACCAGUUGAUCUAUCUCCCCAAAUGUACGAAAUGAUAUGUUUUACUUAAGAUCAAAGUGAACACAAAUACAUUAAAUAUUCAUUCUAAGUUAUUUCUUUAAAAAGAGUUUUGGGGGAAUCCCCUGUAUCACACUGAGGUGAAACACAACUGAGAUUGGAUUCUCUGCUCUGUUAACUAAAUACAUCAUUAGAAAAUCUCUUUGAAGGGCUCUGCUAUAAGAAGAAAAAAAGUUUUUAAAGAAGAUUAAACAGGAAAGUAACACAAGGCAGAGGGCAAGAAUUCUUUGGUUUGCUUUGUGUGUUUGUGGUAGUGGCACUGCCAGAACCUCCCCUCCACUGGUGGGAUCCAGGCUCUCACGGACUCUUUGGUCUUUGCUGGAUGCUGAGCUGAGUUGUCAUGGGCUAGAUCUGUCUUUUGUCUCUGAAGUCAAUUAGUGUGAUGUUCAGGGCUGUUUUCCUAAACUUUUAAUUUAUUUUCUUAAACUAAGAAAAGAGGAGUAUGUCUUCUGGGGAAUGUCCUCGGAUUGCAUCAGCCAGGACCUCUGAGGAUCAGCUCUCUCCCUGGUCCAGGUCUCUCAAGGAUGCUCAGAGAAGCUGUUCUAGCUCUGGGCAGCUUCCUGCUCAGAAUGAUUAAAAUAAUUGUUUUUACAGUUAAAGGGCAGUUGAGUGGGAAGCUGUGAGGUGAACUCAUUGCUUUUAGCUCUCUAAUAGUUCUCUCCUUGGGGAACAGGUGAUAGUCCUCAUCUGGAAUAUUUUAAUUGGGAAGAGAUCUUACUUGAUAUCCCCAAAAAGGACCCCAGACACUGCUUCUGUAAGGAGUGUCUUGUCACUUAAGAGUCAUGACUAUUCCUUGACCCAUUAGCCAGCUCUGGGAGAAUCAGCAGCAACAGAAGUGUUGAAAGUCAGUCUGAACAUUUACUGGAAACUUCCUGGGUAUACAAUUUCUCUUCAAGUUGCCACACAAUGACACAUUAGAGAUAUGAUACCUGUUCUCAUGUUGCUUAAGCUCUCGGGGAAUACUUUAUGGUUUGAACUCAUCACUUUUGGCUAAAUAUCUAUAAGCAUAUGCCUAUAUGAGCACAUAAUCCAUCACAUAUAUAGAGAUGCCAUAAAACUGCCUAUCUGGCGGCCACUUCUUCAGCCGGCUCAACUAUCCAGAAAAAAGUCGAGGUGUCUGAGCAGACACAUUAAAAAUAAGCUAUGAUUCUACAGUUCAUGCAUUUUACUUGCAUUGUUCCAAUUCAUUUCCCCCUAUUUCGGAUAUAUUCGAGCUAUCUUUUCCAGAACAUGUCAGAUUAGAGUUGUGGAGAUGGGCUGUCCCAGGCAAUGGCUGUAGACCACCUACGAGGAGAAGUGAUUUCCGAGAACCUAACAAUGAGGCAGUGGUUCUCGAGCUUCUCUGACACACAUUAACAUCAUCUGGGCAUCUUUUAAUAAUUCCUGAACCCAGGCCACAUCCAAGAUGGAUUAAAUCACAAUCUCUAGAAGUGAGACACAGGCAUUGGUAGUUUUGGAAGCUACCUGGGUGAUUCCAAUGUGCAGGCAAGGUUGGGAGUCACUGCAUUGAAGGUUAAGGAAGAACAACACAUGUUUAAUUGUUUGGUAUUCUGGGGCCAUUUCAUGUAGGGAAUUACCUUUCGCAUUUCUAUAAGCAGCCUGUAUCUUCCUUGCGGGACAUGAAGGUGAGGCAAUGUCCUGAACAGGUAGCCGGGAUAGGCUUUCCUUCCCUGGUCGUUGGUAGUCCUGGGAGGCACCACUGUAUUACAAAUAUAACACACAUGAGAGCUUCUUCUUCUGUCUUGCAUGAAAAAGCCGGAAACUUGUGAGCCUUCAACAUGGGGCAUAUUAUAGUCUUCUCUCCUUGGAUAGCCUUCAGAGAGCUGUUCCUUCUCAACUAGUGCAGUGUAGUCUCUAAGAGGCUAUCACCACUUCUGCCAAUGACCAGAGAGGAGAGUGGACACCCCCAGUAGUCAGAGGAUAUCCCACAUGGAUGCCCCCCUCCACCUCUAUUGGACAAAUCUUCUCACUUUCCACAACUUCUCCCUUUUCUUUCUUUCUAUCUUAGCAUCUAGAAACUCCCGCUGCCAUCCCCUGCCCCCUGGGUCUUGCAUUUCCUCUCUAUAGCAACGAUGAAGACUCUGUCCCUUAAUUCAUUCUCGGGUCCUGCACAUUUCACAGCCUCAGGCAUUUGUGAAGUAUCCACCACUAUUCUGCUCUUUCAAGCUUCUGCUGUCACAGCAGAGGAUGGGGUGAGCUCUGCUCCCCUGCAUGGGGACAGGAGGAGACAGAGAAGUCAGGGAUAGAGUGAGGGCCCAGGAUUUCUGUCCUGGUUGUAGGGCUGUGUGGGGAGGAUGCGGGAGGCAAUGGGAGGGGAAAAGUCUCAGUUUACCCUGCCACAAAGACAUGGUUCAACAAAAGAUGCUCACUAGAAAACCCUCUACACUAUAAUGUGAACUUGUAUGACA